rnacentral:misc_RNA from 1 species
CCGGAAGGUGCGGCUGGAUCACCUCCUUUCUAAGGAGCAUUCUCCAAUCCAAUGUCCACACAGGUGGAUGGUUGGUUGGCAGAGCCUGUUUCGGAUCCACUUGUGGUCCGUCAGGAGCUCAUGGGUGGACGCUGACAAACUUGAUCGUCGUACGGUUUCUCCUCUGUGGGAGGCCGACGAACAAUAUAUCGACAUACUGUUGGGUCCUGAGAGAACACGCGAGUGUUUCCUCUCUAGGAAGUAACGACAAAUGACUGCUGCAGGUCACACCGGUCCACUUUGGUGGGUGUUGGUGUCUGCGUGAGGUGGUUGUUUGUGUGUUGUUUGAGAACUGCACAGUGGACGCGAGCAUCUUUGUUGUAAGUAAUGAAGAGCGUAC